CUUGUUAGGUGACUGCGUACCUUUUGUAUAAUGGGUCAGCGACUUAUAUUCAGUGGCAAGCUUAACCGUAUAGGGUAGGCGUAGCGAAAGCGAGUCUUAAUAGGGCGUUUAGUCGCUGGGUAUAGACCCGAAACCGGGCGAUCUAUCCAUGAGCAGGUUGAAGGUUAGGUAACACUGACUGGAGGACCGAACCCACUCCCGUUGAAAAGGUAGGGGAUGACUUGUGGAUCGGAGUGAAAGGCUAAUCAAGCUCGGAGAUAGCUGGUUCUCCUCGAAAGCUAUUUAGGUAGCGCCUCAUGUAUCACUCUGGGGGGUAGAGCACUGUUUCGGCUAGGGGGUCAUCCCGACUUACCAAACCGAUGCAAACUCCGAAUACCCAGAAGUGCCGAGCAUGGGAGACACACGGCGGGUGCUAACGUCCGUCGUGAAAAGGGAAACAACCCAGACCGCCAGCUAAGGUCCCAAAGUUGUGGUUAAGUGGUAAACGAUGUGGGAAGGCUUAGACAGCUAGGAGGUUGGCUUAGAAGCAGCCACCCUUUAAAGAAAGCGUAAUAGCUCACUAGUCGAGUCGGCCUGCGCGGAAGAUGUAACGGGGCUCAAACCACACACCGAAGCUGCGGGUGUCACGCAAGUGACGCGGUAGAGGAGCGUUCUGUAAGCCUGUGAAGGUGAGUUGAGAAGCUUGCUGGAGGUAUCAGAAGUGCGAAUGCUGACAUGAGUAACGACAAUGGGUGUGAAAAACACCCACGCCGAAAGACCAAGGGUUCCUGCGCAACGUUAAUCGACGCAGGGUUAGUCGGUUCCUAAGGCGAGGCUGAAAAGCGUAGUCGAUGGGAAACAGGUUAAUAUUCCUGUACUUCUGGUUACUGCGAUGGAGGGACGGAGAAGGCUAGGCCAGCUUGGCGUUGGUUGUCCAAGUUUAAGGUGGUAGGCUGAAAUCUUAGGUAAAUCCGGGGUUUCAAGGCCGAGAGCUGAUGACGAGUCGUCUUUUAGAUGACGAAGUGGUUGAUGCCAUGCUUCCAAGAAAAGCUUCUAAGCUUCAGGUAACCAGGAACCGUACCCCAAACCGACACAGGUGGUCGGGUAGAGAAUACCAAGGCGCUUGAGAGAACUCGGGUGAAGGAACUAGGCAAAAUGGCACCGUAACUUCGGGAGAAGGUGCGCCGGCUAGGGUGAAGGAUUUACUCCGUAAGCUCUGGCUGGUCGAAGAUACCAGGCCGCUGCGACUGUUUAUUAAAAACACAGCACUCUGCAAACACGAAAGUGGACGUAUAGGGUGUGACGCCUGCCCGGUGCCGGAAGGUUAAUUGAUGGGGUUAGCGCAAGCGAAGCUCUUGAUCGAAGCCCCGGUAAACGGCGGCCGUAACUAUAACGGUCCUAAGGUAGCGAAAUUCCUUGUCGGGUAAGUUCCGACCUGCACGAAUGGCGUAACGAUGGCGGCGCUGUCUCCACCCGAGACUCAGUGAAAUUGAAAUCGCUGUGAAGAUGCAGUGUAUCCGCGGCUAGACGGAAAGACCCCGUGAACCUUUACUGUAGCUUUGCACUGGACUUUGAGCCUGCUUGUGUAGGAUAGGUGGGAGGCUUUGAAGCGUGGACGCCAGUUCGCGUGGAGCCAUCCUUGAAAUACCACCCUGGCAUGCUUGAGGUUCUAACUCUGGUCCGUAAUCCGGAUCGAGGACAGUGUAUGGUGGGCAGUUUGACUGGGGCGGUCUCCUCCUAAAGAGUAACGGAGGAGUACGAAGGUGCGCUCAGACCGG
rnacentral:rRNA from 1 species